UACCCCACUAGUACCAAUAGGCGGCAUAGAGGAAGAAGCACUACGCCUAGGAAUCAACAACGCAAAAACUUUGUUAGAAAUUAUCCCUUUCUUUAUUGGGAUCGGGACUAAGAGGAAUGGUUGGGACAACAAACAUCCAUCUCGUUCGUACUUUGGAUACCCGUAUAACCAUCGAAGACUGUUGAAGUGACUAAUUCCUAGAAAUUAAGGAAGAUUGAGGACAAAGUUUUUGCGUUGUUGAUUCCUAGG
rnacentral:misc_RNA from 1 species